ACGGAGGGUGCAAGCGUUAUCCGGAUUCACUGGGUUUAAAGGGUGCGUAGGCGGCUUUGUAAGUCAGUGGUGAAAUAUCGCAGCUUAACUGUGAGGGUGCCAUUGAUACUGCAGAGCUUGAGUACAGAUGAGGUAGGCGGAAUUGACGGUGUAGCGGUGAAAUGCUUAGAUAUCGUCAAGAACACCUAUAGCGAAGGCAGCUUACUAGGCCGUAACUGACGCUGAGGCACGAAAGUGUGGGGAUCAAACAGGA
rnacentral:rRNA from 1 species